GUGUACGUAGGUCAGUGGCCAGAGCGGCGGUCCCUUUGACCGUGACCCAGGUUCGACUCCUGGCGUACACU